rnacentral:rRNA from 1 species
GACGAACGCUGGCGGCGUGCUUAACACAUGCAAGUCGAACGGAAAGGCCCUGCUUGCAGGGUGCUCGAGUGGCGAACGGGUGAGUAACACGUGGGUGAUCUGCCCCUUAUUUUGGGAUAAGCCUGGGAAACUGGGUCUAAUACUGGAUAGGACCAUGCUGUAGGUGGUGUGGUGGAAAGAUUAGUUUCGGUAAGGGAUGAGCUCGCGGCCUAUCAGCUUGUUGGUGGGGUAAUGGCCUACCAAGGCGUCGACGGGUAGCCGGCCUGAGAGGGUGGACGGCGACAUUGGGACUGAGAUACGGCCCAGAAUCCUACGGGAGGCAGCAGUGGGGAAUAUUGCACAAUGGGCGCAAGCCUGAUGCAGCGACGCCGCGGGGGGGAUGACGGCCUUCGGGUUGUAAACUCCUUUCAGCCAUGACGAAGCCCUUGUGGUGACGGUAGUGGUAGAAGAAGCACCGGCUAACUACGUG